AUCACCCAAGACCAACGCUGCGGCGCGUUCUUCAUUCUGUUCUACGAGACUCUGGACCAGACCACCGCGAGCAGACAGCUGGACUUCAUGUGCGUUAUUGGUGAAAUGACCACGUCCAAUCAGGAUCCUGUGGAGCUCAUGGGCCAUGACACGCCCAGGACCUACUUCAGCACCUCAAAGAGAAUGGACCAAAUGUCAACUGGAAGUUUUUAUAUUAAUAGAUACAGUUUGAAAAGGAUUGUUUUCCUAGUAUAUUCACAAAAGCUCAGGAGUAGACAUGAACCUGUGCACAAACAUCCAUCACAUAGAGACAUGAGAACUCACACUCACUCACCCACACACACAUACAUUCUAUUAUGUAAAUGAAUUUGCAUUUUAAAAGCAGCUGGAAUUGUUAUUUAUGUUAUUUUAUAGAUUUUUUUGUUCAAAAGGAACUAUGUUGCCCGUAUUUUUAAAAUAUAUUUACUUGAUGUUAUAAGCAUUUGUUCAUGGGACUUAAAUGUUCUGAACAUGUAUUAAUAAAUAUAAUUUACAACAGCAA